GUUUAUCUUCAGGGCAGGGUGCAAUUCCCGACCGGCGGUAAAGUCCGCGACCGUGAUUUAUCACGUUGAACUGGUGAAAUUCCAGUACCGACAGUAAAGUCUGGUAUGUAGAAGAUUAAU
rnacentral:ncRNA from 2 species